rnacentral:rRNA from 1 species
UACGGAGGAUGCAAGCGUUAUCCGGAAUGAUUGGGCGUAAAGCGUCCGCAGGUGGCAAUGUAAGUCUGCUGUCAAAGCGUCUGGCUCAACCAGAUAAAGGCAGUGGAAACUACAUAGCUAGAGUAAGGUAGGGGUAGAGGGAAUUCCUGGUGUAGCGGUGAAAUGCGUAGAUAUCUGGAGGAACACCGGUGGCGAAGGCGGCAUCCUGGACCAAUAUUGACGCUGAGGAGCGAAAGCCAGGGGAGCAAACGGG